ACUCAAAGGAAUUGACGGGGGCCCGCACAAGCGGUGGAGCAUGUGGUUCAAUUCGAUGCAACGCGAAGAACCUUACCUGGGUUUGACAUCCCCGGACAGCCCUAGAGAUAGGGUUUCCUCUUCGGAGGCCGGGAGACAGGUGCUGCAUGGCUGUCGUCAGCUCGUAUCGUGAGAUGUCGGGUUAAGUCCCUUAACGAGCGCAACCCUUGUCCUUCGUUGCCAUCAUUUAGUUGGGCACUCAAAGGAGACUGCCGGUGUUAAACCGGAGGAAGGUGGGGAUGACGUCAAGUCCUCAUGGCCUUUAUAUCCAGGGCUACACACGUGCUACAAUGGCCGGUACAAAGGGUCGCCAACCCGCGAGGGGGAGCUAAUCCCAUAAAGCCGGUCUCAGUUCGGAUUGAAGUCUGCAACUCGACUUCAUGAAGCUGGAAUCGCUAGUAAUCGCAGAUCAGCAGGCUGCGGUGAAUACGUUCCCGGGCCUUGUACACACCGCCCGU
rnacentral:rRNA from 1 species